UUAUUUCAGUUAAAUAGUAUUCUGUAGGUGUGAUACUAUUUUAAUACUAUGUUAGAUAUUGUUAGUAUUCUAUAUUGCCAGUGUGUUGAAAGAUUUGAUGAUACUAGACUCUAUCUUCGUUAGUCAGCGUUUAAACCCAGAGGCACUCUGCUGAUUAGAUCCUCCUCUUUUCCUCCUCCACCAUCACCCCUUUCCUCCUCCCCCUCUCUUCCCAUCUCCUGACCCUCACAAUGAAUAACUAACAUCCCUCCUCCCCCUUUUCUCCUCAUCAUCAUUAAACCUGCUCCUGAAAGAAUCUUCUAUCUCCUCUAUUCUGGCCAGUCUAGCAGCGGUUCAAAGGAUGAGAGCAGUUUCUCUCUGGGCUUUCUCUCUACCAAACAUGGUCUUUAUUAUCUUUAUUAGUUAUUUAAAAAUUGCAUAUUGACUAGAGCUGGAGUGGUAUUGAAAGCCUGACCAUCCAGAAAGUGCCUGGAGCUAUGGGCACAUCAGACGGCACUUUAACUAUUCAACAACUUGCAUGGAGGGUAAAGAAAUUAGGAAGAAAUGAGAAGAUGGUGUUGGUGAAUCUUGUCAUUGUGCUUUCGUGUGUCCAGUCUGUUGUAUCCAGCCUCAUCACCGCGGAUGUGUUUGAAGCCAGAGGCCAGCAUGUGUGUAAAGUUGAUCGUGGAAGCCCCUGCUAUAAGCUGGCAUAUUUCUCUGACCCUGGGCGCCAGCUAAGCUUCCUCGAGGCGGAGCUAGCAUUGUUUGUGUGUGAUGAUUUGUGUUUGUGUGUGAUGAUUUG